GAUGAACGCUGGCGGCGUGCCUAAUACAUGCAAGUCGAGCGAACAGACGAGGAGCUUGCUCCUCUGACGUUAGCGGCGGACGGGUGAGUAACACGUGGAUAACCUACCUAUAAGACUGGGAUAACUUCGGGAAACCGGAGCUAAUACCGGAUAAUAUAUUGAACCGCAUGGUUCAAUAGUGAAAGACGGUUUUGCUGUCACUUAUAGGUGGAUCCGCGCCGCAUUAGCUAGUUGGUAAGGUAACAGCUUACCAAGGCAACGAUGCGUAGCCGACCUGAGAGGGUGAUCGGCCACACUGGAACUGAGACACGGUCCAGACUCCUACGGGAGGCAGCAGUAGGGAAUCUUCCGCAAUGGGCGAAAGCCUGACGGAGCAACGCCGCGUGAGUGAUGAAGGUCUUCGGAUCGUAAAACUCUGUUAUUAGGGAAGAACAAAUGUGUAAGUAACUAUGCACGUCUUGACGGUACCUAAUCAGAAAGCCACGGCUAGCUACGUG
rnacentral:rRNA from 1 species